AGAACGAACGCUGGCGGCAUGCCUAAUACAUGCAAGUCGAACGAGAUCUUCGGGUCUAGUGGCGCACGGGUGCGUAACGCGUGGGAAUCUACCCUUGGGUUCGGAAUAACAGUUGGAAACGACUGCUAAUACCGGAUGAUGACGAAAGUCCAAAGAUUUAUCGCCCAGGGAUGAGCCCGCGUAGGAUUAGCUAGUUGGUGAGGUAAAGGCUCACCAAGGCUACGAUCCUUAGCUGGUCUGAGAGGAUGAUCAGCCACACUGGGACUGAGACACGGCCCAGACUCCUACGGGAGGCAGCAGUAGGGAAUAUUGGACAAUGGGGGCAACCCUGAUCCAGCAAUGCCGCGUGAGUGAUGAAGGCCUUAGGUGUAAAGCUCUUUUACCCGAGAUGAUAAUGACAGUAUCGGAGAAUAAGCUCCGGACUAACUCCGUAGCCCAAGCAAGCCCGUAC
rnacentral:rRNA from 1 species